UGAGUUGGUGGCUAGGGUUCCGGCGCUUCAAAAAGCGUGCUGGUCCGAGAGCUGCCGCCAGUGGGGAGAAAUCCCACUGGAUGCACGGCGGGACAAAAGCCCGGGAGAC
rnacentral:sRNA from 1 species